ACUCAUAUCUGUCCACCAAGGAAAGCUGUAACAAAUGUAAAAUACAUAAAAAAGAUAACUGCUAAAUUUCUAAAGCAUUCCAAAAAAAGACAAAUAGAAGGGUGUCAGAUUAGGAAAGUAUGUCUUGUAAGGUGUAACGGACAGACUGAUGAGCUUAGAGAUGUGGAUCUCAAAGUGGUUCUCAGAGCAACAGCAUCAGGGUCACCUGGGAACGUGUUAGAAAUGCAGAUUCUCAGGUACCAUCCCACAUUUAAUGAAUCAGAAGCUCAGAGUAGAGACCAGCAAUUUGUUUUAACAAGUCCUUCAGGGAUUCUGAUACAGCUGAUGUUUGAGAAACACUAGCUUUAGGUAAACGUAAGAGGGUCACGUUAGUAUUUUUAAAUCAUUGGAAGUUGGUUUGUUUUGUUUUUUCUUAAGUGGGACUCAUUUAUACUUCAAUACACAGAAUGGAUAUUUAGAGGAAGUCGUUUUUGACCUAACACAGAUGAGCACUUCCAAUUGAAUAGCGCUUUCUGAUAAUGGGGCUGCCCACUACAAAUGAAUAACUGGGUUUCUCUAGGCUGGAGCUGCAGACAGGUCACUAUGUGUAUGGAGGAUUGUAUUAAUAUGAUCGUGGCUCUUUAUAGCUCUGCAUUACUAAUAUUCUGUUUUAAAGUCUCUCCUCAAUAUCCAAUGUCUCUGUGUGAAUGAUGGUAAGGAGUGGGUAACAGUAACAAUCAUCCUGUUGUUGACAACAGAUGAUAAGAGAAAGCCCAACUUUACACUCUGUAUAAUCUUACACCAAUGCCCCAUUCCUCGUCUAAUUUUUUUACAUGUUAACACAUGACCUUGGCAUUACUAAAUAAGAAGCCCUCUCACUUAGAACCCGAUGCAGUAUGAUAAAAAUUAUUUUGAGAACAAUCAGGAGCUCUAGUUUUCAAUUCUGCUUCUCUUCUCAAGUAGUUCUGUGCCUUAGUUUCUUCUUUGUAAAUUUAAAUGGUUGGAACAGAGGAUCUGUUAAGUGUGAUUCAAGCUGAAAUUGUAUGUAGCCCACACUGAGUUUCUCUGCUAUACCCCUAACCCAUUCAACAAUCACACCACCAGUUUUCAGGACUCACAGUAGGAUAGCCGUCUAUCAUUUGUUAAUAGGUGUGCUCUUUCAUCCAAACUAGAAACUCAUGAUUUCUGCAGUUUUUUAUUCUAGCAAGGUUCUAGGUGCUGGCCUGGAACUAUAAAACGAACAUUUCACAAAAAGUUAUGACAAUAUACAAGGGAAAGACAAUUUCUUUGAAUAUCCAUAAUCUCAAUAUGGAGUCUGGCUGUGGAUGGCCAAGAGAUAGUUUCCUUAACUGGAAAAAGCUUUUAAAUGAGGCUUGGUGGAUGAUAUAUCUUUGCAUCAUUACAAAGAAGAAAAAAGAGAAAUCUCACAACUGAAGAAAGUGAAAUUCACUUUACUUAAUGCGGACCUCUGUCUCUGGUGUGCAGGUCCUCUGUGUCCAAAGAUAAUUAGCACUUUAUAAUGCUAAUUAUUAUAAUUAUGUCUGAGAAAAAAAUCAUUAGGGGGUAGGUCCGUUCACUGAUUUUCAACUGCCCCCUCUAUUUAAAAAUAAGGUCAUUUUUCUAUGAAAUACCUUUAGGAGCUCAAAGCAGAAAGAGGGUUAUAGAAAAUCCUGCGUAGGUAUAAGCCUGAGUUUUUAAUAUUCUUAUAAUUCUGUGAUGUGUCUGGAAACUGAACCGGGAGGAAAACAGUGAACCUAUUUAGUCCAGGAGACUAGAAAUCAGGACUCAGAAGAGUAAACAUUUCUGUAAUAGUUAGUCCUCAAAUAGUCAUUCAUUGACCUUCCACUGGGUGUCUGGCAAUGUGCAAGCUGUUUCUAGAUGCUACCUCAUGUAACAACCAUCAGAGUUGCACAAAGCAAGUACUAGUACUCCACUUUCAUAGACAAAGAAGUAAAAUCUUAGAAAUUAGCUGCCCAAUGUCAUGUAUGUAGGAAAGGAAAGCUGCAUUCUGAUCCAUAUUUGCUGGCUCCAAAGCACUUGUUGUAAAUACUUCACUAUCCUGUGCUUACACGUAAAUGUACCAUUUCUCUUAGGGGUCUUGAAAUACUGAAUCAAAGAAUGGUGUAGGGGAAGGGCAGUUUAGAAAUACCUGGAAAUUUGGUUGUUUGAAGGAAGCCCACUCUCAGAUGGUAGGAGAUCAAGCUAACAGAAUAGCUGAGAAUAUUUUCUGAGAGCCCCAGAAGUAUAAAAACGGUCUAGGGGGGAAAAUUUGGGACACAGAGUGAAAAUAGCCUGCCUCUGAAGACCAGCUUCAUUUCUUCCCCUCUGGGUGUUAAUGAAAGAGCCUUUAACUUUGCCAGGCCUCAGUUACUAAUUUCUAAAACAACUGCUGCUACUAUUACUACGGAUCUUACUGCUACUAUGACCACCACCACCACCACAUCAGUUACUGAGAACUGAACUAGAUGCCAAGAAAAAUGGUAAACACUUCAUAUAC
rnacentral:lncRNA from 1 species